GGGCGAUUGGCUCAGGGGUAGAGCACAUCCUUCACACGGAUGGGGUCGCUGGUUCAAAUCCAGCAUCGCCCACCA
rnacentral:tRNA from 3 species